AUGCAGGCUUAAAGUGCAGAAUUCUGCAAACCACAUGACAGGAUGUGUACCAACACAACUGACUUUAAAAGUAUUAUAGUGUGCCAUAUGGCCCCUGGCGCCAUCCACGGCUAUGUGUUUACACUAUUUCAAAAAUUUACACAAACCUAGAGUCAAGCGGGCUUCCACAGCCAGCUCCUCUUAGUCCAUAUUGAUAAUGCAUAAGUUCCAAUAAUUAUGUCUUCGUUUGGACGGUAUUCAUUGGCUGGGCAUGUCAGCUAACUAUCGUAGCCAAUGAAUACUGUCUAAAUACAGACAAUAGA